UACAGAGGGGGCAAGCGUUGUUCGGAAUUACUGGGCGUAAAGGGCGCGUAGGCGGCCUUCUAAGUCAUGCGUGAAAUCCCCGGGCUCAACCCGGGAACUGCGUCUGAUACUGGAAGGCUUGAAUCCGGGAGAGGGAUGCGGAAUUCCAGGUGUAGCGGUGAAAUGCGUAGAUAUCUGGAGGAACACCGGUGGCGAAGGCGGCAUCCUGGACCGGCAUUGACGCUGAGGCGCGAAAGCGUGGGGAGCAAACAGG
rnacentral:rRNA from 1 species